AUUGAACGCUGGCGGCAUGCCUUACACAUGCAAGUCGAACGGCAGCACGGGGGCAACCCUGGUGGCGAGUGGCGAACGGGUGAGUAAUGCAUCGGAACGUGUCCUCUUGUGGGGGAUAACCAGUCGAAAGAUUGGCUAAUACCGCAUGAGAUCGAGAGAUGAAAGCGGGGGACCCGAGGGCAACUUCGGGCCUCGCGCGAGAGGAGCGGCCGAUGCCGGAUAGCUAGUUGGUGGGGUAAAAGCCUACCAAGGCGACGAUCCGUAGCUGGUCUGAGAGGACGACCAGCCACACUGGGACUGAGACACGGCCCAGACUCCUACGGAGGCAGCAGUGGGAAUUUUGGACAAUGGGCGCAAGCCUGAUCCAGCCAUGCCGCGUGUGCGAAGAAGGCC
rnacentral:rRNA from 1 species